rnacentral:lncRNA from 1 species
AGAAGCUUCAGAAGCUCCAUGUUCUUGCAAGGGGAGCUGGUAACAGCACACUGGGUGGUUUCACGUGGUUAAUAUUUAUAUAGUAUAGAGCAAAGUUUCUAGAUUUUCUAGAUGGAAAGGAUGAGCCCCCAAACUGAGGUAUGCUCUAAUACGGUUACAUGAAGGUCUAUUUGAACUUCAGAUACUUCUGACUUCCAACUUUAAAACAGAAGAUGGACAAAGUCAACUCUACUUCAGAUUGCUAAAGGAAAAGACUGUGGAAAGAAGUCAACAUAAGAGGAGCUGACAGUCUCCAUCAUGUCCCUAUACCCUGCUUACUAUACUAGAAGCUCCAGAGAACUUUCCCUUUAGUAAAAUCUUGGACUCUCUCUUGGUUGAACUGGCUUGCCUUGCUCACAAUGAAAGAAUUCCUUUAUUCUGUAAUGUCUGGCAUAUGUUCUCCUAUGUAUGCUUUCUCUGUGUUCUGUUCUGCUAUCAAAUUAGGUAAAUAGGUUUCUUUGUUAUUUUUUUGCUUUUGCUAUAUAUCUUCUUUGUGAAACUGGUGUUUGUUGGGAAUGUGCUCAAAUCUUGGAUAUAAAGUCUGGGGUCAUCCUUCCCCCCAAUAAUGAAUAAGCUGGAACUUGUAAAUCAUGCUCCUAAAACAAAUAAUAUUUAAGGGAGCAGAUAGAUAUAGUUCUAAUCUGGUACUUCUCUCAAAGAAGAGGAGAUUGGCCAAGUCUUCGAGUCUCAACUUCCAGCUUCCCCUCCUGGCAAGAAUUAGAGUCUCACUAAGAGAAGGGAAAGAAGAAAAUAAAAAUAAUUAUUCUGUCUCCCCUUGAACCACACAACAUUUCCAUUCUACAUUUUGGAGAAUGACCCUUGCCACACAUGGGAACUUAUCCAGGUGGCAGAAUAGAGCUUCUUUUAUCCUCAUCUUUCUCUAAGGGAGAUUAAUUUCUACUAAGAACACAUUGCCUAGCAAGGUAGUCAAAAUUUUAUUAUUGAAGGCAUUGCAUGAUCAUCUAUUAGAUAAGAUGAAAAGAGAAUUGCUUCAUUGUAGGGAAGAGAUGACUGGAUAAGAAGACCACUAAAAAUUCCUUUUAUCGCUAUUGUCCCAAUAAGUUUAUUUCAUAUUCUAAAUAUAUAAUGAUCCAUUUGAAACAAGUCCUUUUCUCCCUCUCACCCCAAAGUGUUUUAUAAAGAGAAGUAAAAUCAGUCUCGGCUUCAGGAUCCAAUUAUUCCGCCCCCCCCCAAAAAAAAAAUCAGCUUGGCUUCUAGGUCUUUGAAAGCCAGAAAUAUUUGGUUGUGAAGCACAGAACACUGGUCUCUGAAUUGAUUAAGUCUUAAUUCUGAAUUUAGCUCCUCAUUUUUCUUGCUUCAGAGUCUGAGACCAAUUGCUUCAGCUCUCUGUGCCUCGUUUUUUUUGUCUGAAAAUGAGGAUAAUAAUACUUUAGCAUUUCUCUUAAGGACCCCAUUGUAUUGUAGGCUCAUCAAACCACAUCUGGAGCACUGUUUCCAAUUCUGAGCAUCAUACUUCAAAAGAGAUCAGGAAAAGAUCAACCAGGUUCUCAGAAUAUAGGUUCCAUAUAAAUACAAAGCACCAUUCAUUAUAAAAGGCUAAUAAAUCUCUUAAGGCCCAUACCAGAAUAUAGUGGUUCUCUUAGUGUGGUCAAGGGACCAUUCUGGGUCCCCUAGACUCUUUUAUCUGUCAAUGAGAUUUUUAAAAAUUCAUAAUACUACUGACAUUUUAAUUUCUUUUUUAAAAAUAGUAUUUUUUCCAAUCACAUGCAAAAAAUUUUAAUAUUCUUUUUUUAAAAUUUAAUUUCUAACGUAACAAAUGUCAAUAGAUAUAACCCACACAAAGAAAAAUUAUUUUUUGGGGGGUAAUUUUUAAGGAUUUAAAUUGGUCUCAAUAUUAAAAAUCUGAAAAAUGCUGCUAUUAGUAAAUGCAUCAUUUAGGUCACCAAAGAUAAAAGUCACCCAGAUAAAAACAUUUUGAAAAGGUGAUAACAUACUGAUUUUUAUACUGAAUUUUUCAAUAGUAAGUUUACCACAACUGAUAUUUCAUUUUUCAUAAAGGAGUCGUUAGAGAAAGCUUAGUUUACUAAAAUUCCCUGAGGAAUUGAUAUAUAAGCAUACUUUUUGAUUCAAUUAUCUCUCUAUACCAAGGAAGUAAGAGAAAUCUGAUAUGUACCAAAAAGAUUCACAGAGACACUUUUUUUUUGUGUGUGGUAGAAAAGAAUCAGAAACAAACUAUUAUCAGUCAGUUAAUGUCUGAAUAAAUUGUGGUAUGUGAAGGUAGUAUAAUAUUACUAUACAGGGAAAACACAGGAAGACUUGUGUGAACUGAUGCAGAGAGAAAUAAAUAAUAGUAACAGAAAUAUAUAUAUAUAUAUAUAUAUAUAUAUAUAUAUACAAAUAAUGAUAACAUUGUCAAAAUGAUCACUUAGAGGAAGCAGAAUUCAGUGAUUAUAUAGCCACCAUGGUUCCAGAAUACAAACAAUAAAUCAUAGAGAGCCAGAGGACAACAGGGCCAGAACAUUGCACUCAUGAUCUUAUGAGGCAGCUAUAUAGAUUGUUUUUUUGUUAAACUGUUUUUAUUUAUUAUAAGAGAGUUCAAUUCUGGGAGGUGAGACGUAAAAGCCUUAUAUCCAGAAAUGACUGUGAUGGGGGGAAAUUAUGUGAAUAAAGAUUCUUUAAAAUUAACAUAUAUGAAUGGCACUAAAAAUAGCAAACAUUUAAUAUAGGAAUACUAAUACCCACACUUUCAGAUUUGUAAAAAAAAAAAAAAAAUACAACCAUUCAGCUAUCUAUAAAUUUCGAUUUUCUUAAACAAGAUACUGCCCAUGUAUUUAUCUCUUCCACACAAUUUUCAAGUAGACAUAGUUAUGUAAAUUAGACACUAUUGGAUUUUCCUUGGAAUUAUCUAUGCACCUGAUUUUUCUAAAAUAAAAAUAAUAACAAUAGAGUUUCUUAGAAUCUCUGUGAGUAUUAAUGCUUUAGCUUUUGGACUGUCAUAUUGAAAUGAGAUCAAAUUGAAUUUUUUGCAUUUGAGCAGCUACAACAUUCACAUUUGGAGAAUUUCCUGUUACAUAUUUUCAAGAGCCAGGAAACCCUGCUUUGCUGUUGCUCAUAAGACUUGCAAGUGACUUACAUGAUCUCAUUAUGAUAUAACUACUGUUCGCUUCUCUUAGUAAUAAUAUAAGAGGAGGGAUAGCCAAUGAGGGUCCCGUCUUUAGAGCACGCACAAUAAAUUCUGGUUGGC